ACGCACGCUGGCGGCGUGCUUAACACAUGCAAGUCGAACGGAAAGGCCUCUUUCGGGGGGUACUCGAGUGGCGAACGGGUGAGUAACACGUGAGUAACCUGUCCUUGACUUUGGGAUAACUUCAGGAAACUGGGGCUAAUACCGGAUAGGAGCUCCUGCUGCAUGGUGGGGGUUGGAAAGUUUCGGCGGUUGGGGAUGGACUCGCGGCUUAUCAGCUUGUUGGUGGGGUAGUGGCUUACCAAGGCUUUGACGGGUAGCCGGCCUGAGAGGGUGACCGGCCACAUUGGGACUGAGAUACGGCCCAGACUCCUACGGGAGGCAGCAGUGGGGAAUAUUGCACAAUGGGUGGAAGCCUGAUGCAGCAACGCCGUGUGCGGGAUGACGGCCUUCGGGUUGUAAACCGCUUUCGCUCAUGACGAAGCUUUGUGUGACGGUAGUGGGUAAAGAAGCACCGGCUAACUACGUG
rnacentral:rRNA from 1 species